CGAGUUACUUGCAUUUGCUGGUUUAAUCUGCUCGGUCAGCGUACUGCACUAAGAUCGUUAAGAAUUCUUAUCUGCUUCUGUAGAAUAUUUCCACCUGUUUCUAUUGUUUUUGACUUCUUCCCCGAAUUACGGUUGCUGUGGGUCAAAAUUAGCCGUUGUGAAGAGUUUAGGAAAUUGAUUUUUAGUAGACGGCCGGGUUAAAAGAAAAGGGUUUCAGUCCUUAUGGCGGCGACCAUAAACCACGUUUUAAAAAAACUUUAAUAACAAAUUGUUGAUUGUCCGAUCAUUAAAGGCAGAGCAUCUCUAUAACGAUUUACCACGAGACCGCGUUCGCCAUGUGCGUUAGCUGGCUCACAGCUUUGCGAAGACCAUCAACUCGGAAUGACGCUGCCAUUUCAUUGGCUAAAGGCAAAAGAUUUACUAUGUGCGACAUACGUUUUUCUAUCGUAGUACUGUUGGUUCUGUGGGUCAAGCUUGUUCAGCCAUCCGAAGAAAAGCGCUGUGUUGUCCAGGUUUCCGUCAAUAAUGCUGGAGACUGCACUUAUCAUGGACACUACAUUCUUCAAGGCACGACGUAUUAUCUUGAUACGCCUUGCGAGCGGUGGGUGUGUGCAGACAGGUUCAAUUAUACAGACGGAUAUCUGCAUCGCUUCAGCUGCCCGGAACCCGACGCACCAAGGCAGUUCUGCUGGCUUGAUGCAGGAAAAGGCAAAUACCCGGCCUGUUGCCCAAAGGAAGUAUGCCCUGCCAAGUAAAUAGUACGGCAAUCUCACCGAGUACUCUUCAACAAGAUGGGGCAUCAAAAGAUGUCUCCACAAGCCAACGAAGCAAGCCAGGACGAAAUACAAUUAAACCUUCACUUAGAGACUCUAUUAUGAAUAAAGAGUACCUGAAUUACA